rnacentral:rRNA from 1 species
AUUGAACGCUGGCGGCAGGCCUAACACAUGCAAGUCGAACGGUAACAGAAAGCAGCUUGCUGCUUUGCUGACGAGUGGCGGACGGGUGAGUAAUGUCUGGGAAACUGCCUGAUGGAGGGGGAUAACUACUGGAAACGGUAGCUAAUACCGCAUAACGUCGCAAGACCAAAGAGGGGGACCUUCGGGCCUCUUGCCAUCGGAUGUGCCCAGAUGGGAUUAGCUUGUUGGUGGGGUAACGGCUCUCCAAGGCGACGAUCCCUAGCUGGUCUGAGAGGAUGACCAGCCACACUGGAACUGAGACACGGUCCAGACUCCUACGGGAGGCAGCAGUGGGGAAUAUUGCACAAUGGGCGCAAGCCUGAUGCAGCCAUGCCGCGUGUAUGAAGAAGGCCUUCGGGUUGUAAAGUACUUUCAGCGGGGAGGAAGGGAGUAAAGUUAAUACCUUUGCUCAUUGACGUUACCCGCAGAAGAAGCACCGGCUAACUCCGUG